CUAAACUCCGAAACAUAACAAUGAACUAAAAUCAAAAUCAUACAAGACUUAGAAGGACAGAGGCUCCUGGAUUGGGCCAGGCGCACAAAUGCGGCGGGGUUUAACAUGUUUCGUGAGAUCACAACCCUCCCCUAUACCUCUAGCCAAUAAAGAAUGAAAAACACACAGUAAUACGAACAGUAAAACGCACUUCAAUAGGAAAUACAAGUCCUAUGUCAGAAUAGGAAACAAACUAAGAAACUAAUUAACAUGCAUGAC
rnacentral:lncRNA from 1 species